rnacentral:rRNA from 1 species
UUGGUGAACCAGCGGAGGGAUCAUUACUGAGUUUACGCUCUACAACCCUUUGUGAACAUACCUAUAACUGUUGCUUCGGCGGGUAGGGUCUCCGCGACCCUCCCGGCCUCCCGCCUCCGGGCGGGUCGGCGCCCGCCGGAGGAUAACCAAACUCUGAUUUAACGACGUUUCUUCUGAGUGGUACAAGCAAAUAAUCAAAACUUUUAACAACGGAUCUCUUGGUUCUGGCAUCGAUGAAGAACGCAGCGAAAUGCGAUAAGUAAUGUGAAUUGCAGAAUUCAGUGAAUCAUCGAAUCUUUGAACGCACAUUGCGCCCGCCAGCAUUCUGGCGGGCAUGCCUGUUCGAGCGUCAUUUCAACCCUCAAGCUCUGCUUGGUGUUGGGGCCCUACAGCUGAUGUAGGCCCUCAAAGGUAGUGGCGGACCCUCUCGGAGCCUCCUUUGCGUAGUAACUUUACGUCUCGCACUGGGAUCCGGAGGGACUCUUGCCGUAAAACCCCCAAUUUUCCAAAGGUUGACCUUCGGAUCAGGUAGGAAUACCCGCUGAACUUAAGCAUAUC